AGGAGAGAUGUCAGCGAUUCGGGCCAAUGACCAAGGGAAAGCUGGGACAAAAGAGAGAAAUGGAUGCUGCGGCCACUGAUUGCGCAUCAGAGAAUGACUCUGAGAAAGAGGAGUCAUCUGAAGAAUCCUAUGAAGAAAAUCUGACCGGUAUGCCUAUACCUUACAUACACAUGGACCUAUUCUUAAUUACAAUGUCCUUUUCAACAUGUUUUCCAGGAGAGAUGUCAGCGAUUCGGGCCAAACAACCAAUAACCAAGGGAAGACUGGGACAAAAGAGAGGCUCACACGGUGACAAAGGAACAAAAAGGUAUUGGUCGACAAUAGAGGUGGAUGCAGUUGAAGAUUCCUUGAUGAACUUUAUCCGAAUGGGGAAAAAUGCCUGGAAAACAAGACUGUGAGAAAUGUAUUGCUGCUUCUCCCCAAGCGCUUUUAAACAGGGACUGGAGAGCAGUACAGUUCUAUAGACACAACAGAAUAGUUGCAGAUCAGAGAAAAUAAGUGUAUGAGAUGCUUCUGGCUAUCUCAUAGGCAGAUGACAAAUGUCCUCUAUCUCACUGUUCAGGGUAGUUUUUCCUGGUGGAUGGUUCACCAGGUGAGAUCUUGCAUGGAGCCCCAGAUCGAGGGUGAUUGACCGUCAUCUUGAACUUCUUCCAUUUUCUUUUAAUUGCGCCAACAGUUGUUGCCUUUUUGCAUAUUGUCCUGUAUCCUAUCCCAGCCUUGUGCAGGUCUACAAUUUUAUCCCUGAUGUCCUUACACAGCUCUCUAGUCUUGGCCAUUGUGGAGAGGUUGGAGUCUGUUUGAU